ensembl:lncRNA
CCGGGCCCCGCUGCACGGCCGCUCCGUGCCGCCCGUGGGCCUCCGGGCCGGGCCCUGCCCUAGGGAACAUCCCUGGGUCGGCUCGUAUAAAUGUGUGGUUAGCUGUUGGUACUCGUGGAAGUGACACCAACAAAAUACCCUUUUGCUGUGUGGUGCAGGGAGGGCUGCGGGUGUGGUCUGGCUGGAUAGGGAAGCAGUCUGUCUCCUCACAGGUCCUCCUGCCCACCAGGAGACCCGGCUCGGUCUGUGCUGGCGGAGGAGGCUGUCAGUCCUUCCACCUAAACAGGUGAAGCCCAAAGGAAUAGAAGCUGCUCACUUCUUUAUGGAAGGACUCAGCUGCUCACAACAGCAAGCCAUUGGCUUAUUCAACAGAACACAUCUUCUGAAGAUAUUUGAAUAUGAUAGCCAAGAAGACUGAGCAGUCUUUGAAGAAACAGAGGACCAUGCAGCUGAAGAGAUGCAAUAGGUUUUCAGAGAACUGAAUCCUUGCACAUCCUUCAGCUGAAUAAGCCCACCCUUCUGAAGAGUUUGGUCCAGGGACCUGGUGUGGAUGCAUCCAUGCAAGACCUCCCUGCCAGGAGGAACGAAUGCUAUCCCAGUGCUCAGCACUGACAGAUUCCACUGCCAGUCCUGCUUUGAAUGUGAGAAAAAGUCCUGCAGAGUUGAAGAGUGAGAAGGGGAAAUGCGAGCUGUUGUCACGUUGUAUGACUGAUGCCAUACAACAGAUGCAAGUGCCCAUAGUUAAGAAAUCCCCAGCCCCAGUCUUCCAAAUCAUGAGCCACUGCUGAGCAUCAUGAGGCAGGGC